UAGGGAAUCUUCGGCAAUGGACGAAAGUCUGACCGAGCAACGCCGCGUGAGUGAAGAAGGUCUUCGGAUCGUAAAACUCCGUUGUUAGAGAAGAACAAGGACGUUAGUAACUGAACGUCCCCUGACGGUAUCUAACCAGAAAGCCACGGCUAACUACGUGCCAGCAGCCGCGGUAAUACGGAGGUGGCUAGCGUUGUCCGGAUUCAUUGGGCGUAAAGCGAGCGCAGGCGGUUUCUUAAGUCUGAUGUGAAAGCCCCCGGCUCAACCGGGGAGGGUCAUAGGAAACUGGGGGAAUUGAGUGCAGAAGAGGAGGGUGGAAUUCCAGGUGUAGGGGUGAAAUGCGUAGAAAUAUGGAGGAACACCGGUGGCGAAGGCGGCUAUCUGGUCUGUAACUGACGCUGAGGCUCGAAAGCGUGGGGAGCAAACAGG
rnacentral:rRNA from 1 species